CUGACUUUAAAAUGCAAGAUUUCGCUCCACCUUAAACUAUAGCUUCAAAUAAUCAUUAGAAAUAUCAUUUAUAAAGAAAACAAAAACAAGAACAAAUAAAUGAAACAAUAUUCUGACAAAGUGGCGAACCAAUCAUAUAUGCAUGUGCUUACACAGCUCAAUCCUACCUACACAACCGCUUCCAGAACGUGCAGCCAUUCUCCACCCUACACGUGGCACUCAACAACGGCCAGCAUAAAUUUAUGCCCUAUUAAACUUUUUUAAUCAUAAUUAACAUCAAAAAUCCAGAGUGGCCGUUAACUUUGAAGCAAAAAAAAUAAAUAAAUUACUAAUAAUUUUGUAAUUUAAUAUUAAAUCAUGUAUCUUUGUUCUCCUCAUUAUCCCCUCUCUAUAUAUACCUCAUAAGAUAAGACAUUAAACACACAAUCAAGGCAUUCAUUUCAACAAAAUUUAGAGUGCUUUGUUUACAAAGUUUUUAUUUUUUAUUUUUUAGUAAACAAAACAGAUUUUUUUCUGAAAUUAUUAAUUUGGAAAUGGACUCUGUGAGAAAAUAUAUUUUGAUCGUUAUUUUGGCUUUGAUUUUGUCUUUGUUUGUUCCCUCUAUGAAUGCUCAAUCUCCUGCUCCUGCUCCCUCAAGCGAUGGGGCAACAAUUGAUCAAGGGGUGGCUUAUGUGCUCAUGAUGGUUGCUUUGGCCUUGACUUACAUCAUGCAUUAACUCUUCUAUUUCUUUUUUAGUUUCCAACAAUUUAUUGGGUUUAUUUUUGACUUUUUUAUAGUCAAACUUCAUUCUUUGUAAUGUAAAGAUUCAAUAUUCUUCCUUCAUUCUCUUAGUUUCAUUUAAUUCUUUGGAAUUAUUCUCAAAUGUACCUUGUACUUAUGACACGAUUUUUAAAACCUUCAAGAUUUGAUUCUCUUUUAUAAAUA